GGGUCGGCUCGCCUAUUAGAGUAGGGCAACUCUCUGUAAAAGAGCCGCGAUUCGCGUUGCAGGUGCAAAUCCUGCCCGACCCA
rnacentral:tRNA from 1 species